UUCGACGGAGAGUUUGAUCCUGGCUCAGGACGAACGCUGGCGGCGGGCCUAACACAUGCAAGUCGAACGCACUCGACCUUCGGGUCACAUGAGUGAGUGGCGAACGGGUGAGUAACACGU
rnacentral:rRNA from 1 species